CUGUACCAACCAGGACAUCCACAGACCAGUCACCCCUUCCAGCCAUAAAGGUUGACGGAAUCUCCACUUAGAUCCACGCAUCCCAUGCCAAGGCUGCUCCAGAGACGUCCGGACCAACACCACUUAAGACAUGGAAACUCCGACGCUCCGCGGACCUGCUCAAGAUAAGACUCUCUCGUAUCUAACUCCUUGCUUAUUGUUUGCCCUUCUUCCCUGCGCCGUCUCUAGUGUAGUUUUUGACGCUAACCCCCACCGGCCAUUUAGCCUGACCUGACAGAUAAUUAAUUUUAGUAAUCAAGAGGUCUUAAAUAAGACCUCCGAGAAUACUCCUAUAAAGACUUAGUUUCCAGACCUCUAUUUCAACCUAAAAAAAAAAAAAAAAA